UCUCUGCCAGUUCUGUGCCAAACGCCUGCAAGGUCUGGGCUGUGGUCUUCACCAUUAGGGCGAACGCCUCGAUGGCCUGUGGAGGACAAAAGAGUCUAAUGCAGACUCAUAAUGUCUGGAGCAUGAAACCAGCAAAUGGUAGCAGACGACCUUGAGUGGCCUUGAUGAACAGAGCGUCUCAUGGGAAGACGAACGACCUUCAUUCUCCAGUAAAACUGAGUGCCAUUGGCUGAUGGACAUGGGGAGGGGAUGCAGCUGAGUGGGCAGAGGGGGAGAACAAAGACCAAACACUAUCGACUCCUUCCGCUACAGGAUCAAACAGUUGGCCUGCUCCAGUGUAAACAGGAAGACACCAAUUGACAAGAAACGAGUCACAGAAAUGAAGGAAGUGGUGGAGGAUAUGUAGGAGGACAAAAAGGUGACAGCAGGUGGACGGCUUGAGUGAAGUUGUCCCUUAACCUUCACAGCCGGUGAACAGUCUAGCAAACUUUUCCACCAUCGAUGCACACAUGGACAGGUAAGUUAUCAAUUUACUCACUUACAAGGGCUAUUUCAGG